GUGCAGGUUAGUUACAUAUGUAUACAUGUGCCAUGCUGGAAGAACUUUCCUGACCCUAAGAUUCAGUUUUGCUAUAUGUUCAUGUGCUUUCUCAUGUUCUAAGGUCAAAACAUCAAUGAAAAUAUAAUGUCUUACAAGCAAGGCAGGUCUUAUUAAGCCGACAAUGCAUAGGCAAGCCUUGGUGCAGAGGGUACAUUUUCUUACCAAGUAUAGGGCAUGUAUAAAAAUUACUGAGGGUUAAUCUGACUUGGCCUUCCCAAUUAAGCCUGCCUGGAGGCCUGAGCAAACCAGAAUGUCCCAGACACUAGACUUGGCCUGGGUUGAAUGUGACUAUCUGCUGGGUUGCCCUGAGAGGAGUCCAGGCUCUAGACUGGCCCUCCCUCUUUGUUCUGUAGUGAAUUUAAAGGGGAUUUAGGUUCUGCAUCAGAAAGACUCCACCCCAGCUCUAAGUCAAUGCCUGCCUCUUCUGGAGAAGUGGUUCUCAAAGUUCAGCAUCAGCAGAAUCACCUGGGGAGGGGCUUGUUAACACCCAGAUUGCUGGACCCCGGCCCCGGGGUUUCUGAUUCAGUCGGUCUAGGGUGGGGCAUGGGUAACUGCAUUUCUAAGACGGUGCUGGUGCUGCUGCUCUUAGGACCAUGUGUUGAGAAGCAAUGUUUGGGAGAAACCAUCAUAUAUUCUGGUAUCUAAAUUGACCCUUUAAAUAUGCCAAAAAGACAGGCAGUUUUGUGAGCUGUUUUUGAUGGAAGCUGGAAUGGAGAUACUUUAAAAAAGAUAGUAGUAGUGGGUGUUAACUUUAAAAAUAGAUAAUCUAGUUAUAUAAAUUACAUCCAAAUAAAGCAUUCCUUUUUUUGCAUAGACUUCCCUGUUUAACAUUUCUAAUAAAGACAAAAAAAUCAUACUUUUUUGGAUGAGUCAUUUUUCCCAUCUCUGGCUAUUAAAAGUGAACAGUUUUAAUUGGUUUUUUGCUCAAAUUGAGGCAAAAGGCUUUCAGGUUGGUGACACAGUUACAAAUUGCCCUUUGAAAGUUGAAUAACAAUUGGGAACUAUGGCCCUGAGAGAAGGUAAUGUCAACUGUACACCUCAGUUUUUCCUUUCAUUAUGCCUACAAGUCUGGCUUAUGAUUGCCUCUCAUCUAAUUAACCAAUUAGGCUUUUCACCUUUUUGUUGGGACACUCAAAUGUCCAAGGCUCUGCUUUAAUAGUACAUUCCAUCAUCAUAAAAAUGUGUGCAAUUCCCUACUUUCCAAAGAAGAUUGCAUUUCUUGAGAUUUAUGUGCUGUUUUCAAGUUCAGUAUUAAUGAUUUGGAUGUGGUCCCCUGCAGCUUUAAUCACUCACCACAAAUAAGAGGUGAAAUAUAAGCAUCAUUUAGCUUCUUCGUUGCGGUCUGCCUUAUUAGCAGGAGAGCAACACAACAGCGAGAGAGUUCUGCACUGAGCCUAAAGACUCAAUUUCCAUUCCAGCUCAAACGUUUACUGGUUCCAGGACCUUGAGGAAACCCUUUGACUCCCCAGAGGUUUUUCAGUUUUGAAAUGGGGCCAAUAAUCUGUGCCUGGACUACUUCAGAGGGUUGUUUUGAUGAUCAAAAUCAAAAUGAGAUAACACAAGUGAGAGCACUUUGGAAAUUCAUAAGUCUUAAAAGAGUCAAGAUCUCCUUCUUCCUGGUGUCAUGUUGUGGGUACAGUGUAUUCUCUGUGAUGGAUUGUUAGUUUGCCCUGGACUGUGUCCGCAGGUUUCAUUCCUGCUCCCAGCAAGCAGUUUCUCAAAUGUGUGCUGCUGGUUCCUACUUGAAGACUGAUGAGAAAUGAUGACAGCCCCAUAUCAACUCGCCAUGAUAAUCCUAACAUUUCUCUGCCACUGUAAAGAUGAGGAAACAAAGAUGCAGAUUCUUAUUGUCUUCUCAAGUACAUAGUGAGGAGCAGAACCUUUUCUUCUGGAAAACCAGAUUUAAAGAAAUAAGUACAUAGGCAACUCAAGGGUAUGGUCUGCUGAUACACUAAAGGUUUUUUUUUGUUGUUGUUGUUUUGUUUUGUUUUUCUGUUUUAAUGACUCUGGAGAUGAAAGGUUGUAAAUCAAGGGAAUCCCAAGGUAAGAAAAUAAAACACGUUCUCAUUGGUUUGCCAGUGAAAUGAAUGAUAAGUGCAAACUUAAACCUACAAGAUCGAGGAGGUGAAGUUUAAAUAGUAAGUUCUAUAAGAGCCAACCUAUAAAAACAGAUCUGUAGUGUUCCUUCUGACUAUACAGGGGUGUGAUGGUUAAUUUUAUGCAUUAACUUAACUGGAUCACAGGAUGCCCAGAUGUUUAGCUAAACAUUAUUUUGGGUGUGUCUGUGAGGCUGUUUCCAGAGAGAUUAGCAUUUGAAUUGAUAGACUGAGUCAAGAUUGCCCUGACCAAUGCAGUUGGGUAUCAUCCAAUCCUUUGAGGCCCGGACCAGAAGCCAAGAAGAAGGAAGGGAGAAUUUGUCCCCUCUGCCUGAUUGCUUGAGCUGAACAUUGAUCUCCUCCUCCUCUUGGCACUUCUGGUUCUCAGGCCUCAGACACAGACUGGAAUCUACACCAUCUGUGGACCUUUCCUGGGCCUCCAGCUUGCAGACAGCAGGUCUGCAAAAUCAGAUCAGCAGAUCUGUGGAACCACACAGCCUCUGCCAUCAUGUGAGCCAGUUCCUUAUAAUAAAUCUAUUUACAUGAAUGUAUAUAUCUUAUUGGUUCUGUUUCCCUAGAGAACCCUAAUACAAAGGAUUCCCUCUCAGAUAUGUAUAGAAAUUUAUUUUUAUGAGUUUCUAGCCAGGCAUUCAUGUGAUACCAAUUCUUGGCCAGUACUAAACUUUGACUCUUAAUGAUUAAACCACACUCUUUAGGGAGACCACAAUGUGGGGACACAUUAACAGAAGCCAAACACCACACAAGCAAUGAAACAAGAAGGACACACGUCAUCUGCUAAAAAUGUGUGUGUGUGUGUGUGUGUGUGUGUGUGUGUGUGUGUGUGUGUGUAACAUCAGGGAUCAACAAUGCAUGAGUUUGGGAAGACCAGAUGAUGAGACCCAGCUUACAAGGUAUUUUGUAUUUCUAAUUGUUAUAAAACCCGCCAGAUUCAAAGUAAGUGAGAAAUACAGAUAUAGAAAUGGCACUCAUAAAUGAAUUCAACUCCAAAGUGAAUAAAACUUAAGACUAUUUUAAAAUAAAAGUGCAAUUUUAUUUAAAUAAAAUAAAUGCUUUGAGUUAUUUUAAAAUAAAUAUUAGAAGAGCGAACCCAAAUGUUAACUAUGGACUUGGGUGAUAAUGAUGUGCACUGUAGGUUCAUAAAUAAUUGUAAGAUAUUUACCACUCUGGCACAGGAGGCGGAUGGUGGGGUAGUCUGGGUGUGUGUAGGGGGAAGGGAGUGGGAGGACAGAGGGCAUAUAGGAACUCUGUACUUUCUGCCCAGUUUAGCCCUGAACCUAAAACUGUCCUAAAAAUAGAGUGCUUUUUUAAAAAAAAGAAAAAUUAUUUUUUUAAAAGCACAUUUUCUGGAGUUGUGAUCUUCAGGAUUACUGCUAGCAAUUGCAUUUUACAAACAUGCAGAGGCCAGUGGCUUCCAAUCUCUGAGUAUAAUAUGUUGGUCUGGAGGAUAGACUCUGUUUACCUUUUGGAUCCAGACUUUGGUUCUGAAUGAACAUAUUUUAUAGAACAUGCAAAGGGCAGCCGAGCUCGAGGAAGCCUGCAGAGUUCUGCAGUGUGAAGGCACACUGAGCAGAGAUGGCAUUUCCAGUUUUCACAGAAGAUGCCACAGCUCUUGCAUAUACUGUAUCUCCUUCCAACUUAAGUUCCCAAAAGGUCUCUGUCUGGCUUAGAAGGAUCACUGCAAUGCGAUGCCACUGUCUUCCUUCAGGAUGCACCCAUGUGCUGAGGGAUGUGUGCAUUCACCCACUUAGGAGGCUAUAAUCAAAGCUGGCGGUCAGAGCUGGUGUUGGACCUUCCUACUGCCAAGUAUGAGUUGAUUAAUAGCGUGAAUUUUUACUCCGCCUUGUGGUCUUCUGAUUUUUCCCCACAUAUCAGAACCUUGAAUUUACAGUACGAUUAGUAGACUUUGAACAAAUAUUUUAACUGAAUGACUAAUUGAAUAAAUGAUUUAAUUAACACAAGGUGAGUUCAGGGACCAAAUAAUUUGGAUGAUUUACAAGGUUCAUGAAAGAACAGCAGAUAAGGCUGGACUGUGGAUUGGAGAUAGAGUGUAGGAUAUCCUGAAUGCCAGCUGAGGAGGUGGGAGGAGAGGAGCCUCCAGAGGUUUCUGAGUGGGGCGGGAGCACAAUCAAAGCAUGCUUAGUAUGACUGUGAUUAGAAGUCAUGAGUCAAAGUAAAUAUCUGAGAGACAUACCUAAAAAACAAUUUUCUCUUCUUAUUUUUCAUGUUGUUAAUGAAUUAUUUUUAAGUGGGUUUUAAGUUAACCUGAAAAGGUCUUGAAAUUUCAAUAAAAUUAAAACAUUCCAUUUCCCAGAGCUCAUGCAAAAGAAUAUUUCAUAAGUGAUGUAUUUCCAAGGAAAAGAACAUUGACAUACUCUGACUACAUGCUACCUAAAAUAAUAGAGGUUAUUGGUUAAAUAUAUUAAUAACGAGAAUCAUACUAAUAGUUAAUAAGCUUAUGUGUAGUUCUCCGACUUUUUUGAAAUAAUUUAAACAUGUGUUAAGACCUAACAUUUUUACUUAUUCUUUAAAGCUACAUACAGCUUUUUAAAAAUAGCUUUAUUAAAGAGAUAAUUAACAUAUCACAAAACUCAGCCAUUUAAGUGUACAAUUCAAUGGUUUUAGUAAAUUUGCAGAGUUGUACAACCAUCAACACAGUCUAAUUUUAGAAUAUUUUCAUCAACAAAAAGAAACCCCAUAUGCAUUAGCAGUCAAUUCUCACUCCACGCCCAUCCAUCCCCAGCCCUAGGUAACUUAAUCUUUCUGUGUCUAUAGAUUUUCUUAUGCUGGACAUUUCAUUAAAAUGGUAUCAUACAAUAUGUGGUCUUUUAUGACUAGUUUGUUUCACUUAGCAUAAU
rnacentral:lncRNA from 1 species